AGCGAACGCUGGCGGCAUGCUUAACACAUGCAAGUCGCACGGGUGGUUUCGGCCAUCAGUGUCGGACGGGUGAGUAACGCGUAGGAACGUGUCCUGAGGUGGGGGAUAACGCUGGGAAACUGGCGCUAAUACCGCAUAUCGGAUGAGGCCGGAAGCCGCGAGGCGCCUUUGGAGUGGCCUGCGUCCGAUUAGCCUGUUGGUGGGGUAAUGGCCUACCAAAGCUGCGACCGGUACCUGGUCUGACAGGACGACCAGCCCACACUGGGACUGAGCCACGGCCCAGACUCCUACGGGAGGCAGCAGUGGGGAAAAUUGGACAAUGGGCGUAAGCCUGAUCCAGCAAUGCCGCGUGGGUGAAUAAGGUCUUCGGAUCGUAAAGCCCUUUCGGCGGGGACGAUGAUGACGGUACCCGCAGAAGAAGCCCCGGCUAACUUCGUGCCAGCAGCCGCCGUAA
rnacentral:rRNA from 1 species